AGGAUUGACACGGAGGGUUCAUCAUGGUCUGACCUGAGCAGCUGGGAGUCCAUUCAGGUGAAUGGGAAGACGUUAUCUGCUAAAUCACACGUCUGUCUGUAGACUAACUGAAAUUCUGCUGUUUUUCUCACACUGACACAUCGUGACGACCGUCGGUCACUUUUGUAAACAACAACACUUUAUUAAAAAGUAGAGAACCACGACACUGACAACAAUCCAACUGCAAACAGAGAGACCUGCAGGAAUGGAACCGAUGACUUUCUUCCUGUAAGGCAUUGGUUCCCAAAGUGGGGGUCGGGUGCCAUUUGGGGAGUGGAGAGUUAUUUAGUUAUUGCAAGGGGUUGGGGAGGGAGGGGCACAGAGGUCGAAUUAUUCAAAUGUGUGAGUGAUAAUCAGCCCGUCGUGUCUGUGUCUCUUUAAUGAUAAGAUUAAGACGACCCCGCCCAUCCUGCUCAUCUGUAGCUCAUUUCACCUGGUGUUAACAUUUAGUCACUGCAGGCUGGUCAGGGCUGGUCGUUAGGUGUAAAAUGAGUUAAAAAAACUUUAUAAGUCCUUAUUUUAUUCUUUCUCUCUCUGUUACUUUUUUAUUCUUAUUCAUGUCAUGACCUCAAUUUCACACAAAAUAUUUUUAUUCUUUAUUAAGACAAGUGUUCCAGGAUACACACUAACUCAUGGCAACUUUAAGUACAAAGACAAUGACAUUUUAAAAGUAGAUCAAACAGCACAAAAGAAUAACAAAAUAAUAUAUCAAUAUUAGCAAC